GUGGGGAAUAUUGCACAAUGGGCGAAAGCCUGAUGCAGCGACGCCGCGUGAGCGAAGAAGGCCUUCGGGUCGUAAAGCUCUGUCCUAUGGGAAGAUAAUGACGGUACCAUAGGAGGAAGCCCCGGCUAACUACGUGCCAGCAGCCGCGGUAAUACGUAGGGGGCGAGCGUUGUCCGGAAUGACUGGGCGUAAAGGGUGCGUAGGCGGCCAGGUAAGUCAGAUGUGAAAGGCAUAGGCUCAACCUAUGUAAGCAUUUGAAACUGUCUGGCUUGAGUCGAGGAGAGGAAAGUGGAAUUCCUGGUGUAGCGGUGAAAUGCGUAGAUAUCAGGAGGAAUACCAGUGGCGAAGGCGACUUUCUGGACUUGGACUGACGCUGAGGCACGAAAGCGUGGGGAGCAAACAGGAUUAGAAACCCUAGUAGUCC
rnacentral:rRNA from 1 species